CCGUGCGUCCCAUCACACGUAGCCUACGAGGCAGAGCGGGGAGGCAACGAACCGUUCGAAGCCCUCGGACGAUGUACCCACAAGUGCAAACUUGGCACCAGAACCGCGAGGAGACGGUGUAUCUGCCAGCAUAAGGCGGAGACGGGC
rfam:Acidobacteria bacterium 13_2_20CM_56_17 13_2_20cm_scaffold_3688, whole genome shotgun sequence.